rnacentral:rRNA from 1 species
AGUGAACGCUGGCGGCAGGCCUAACACAUGCAAGUCGAGCGGCAGCGGGUCCUUCGGGAUGCCGGCGAGCGGCGGACGGGUGAGGAAUGCAUCGGUAUCUGCCCUGUCGUGGGGGAUAACCUAGGGAAACUUAGGCUAAUACCGCAUACGACCCACGGGUGAAAGCGGGGGAUCGCAAGACCUCGCGCGAUAGGAUGAGCCGAUGUCCGAUUAGCUAGUUGGCGGGGUAAAGGCCCACCAAGGCGACGAUCGGUAGCUGGUCUGAGAGGAUGAUCAGCCACACUGGGACUGAGACACGGCCCAGACUCCUACGGGAGGCAGCAGUGGGGAAUAUUGGACAAUGGGCGCAAGCCUGAUCCAGCCAUGCCGCGUGGGUGAAGAAGGCCUUCGGGUUGUAAAGCCCUUUUGUCCGGGAAGAAAUCGUCUGGGCUAAUACCCCGGGCGGAUGACGGUACCGGAAGAAUAAGCACCGGCUAACUUCGUG